UAACAACCACCAAAACCUUAUCUCUUUCAAUUACUUUCAUCUUACUCAUUCAAUUCCCCCUUCUUCCUCAUUCAACUUCUUCUUCAUUCAAGUUCAACGCUGCCUCACCCACUCAAACCAUCGGUUAUGCUAAACCUGCUUAGUCUACAGGUACAUUUGAGCAAAGGCAACCAAACCUAGUAGAGCAACAGCUUCCAUCACGAGCCAAUCACUAAAUCUAGGUUUGUUCCAAUCUAUGUUGGGUGACAUCAAGGCGAUGAUCAGUUAUUUGUAGAAGACUUCAAAAGGCUAAACUUUGGCGACAUUCACUCUAAUUUUCACUCAAAUUUAGUGUUUUUGUCAAUGGUGACUAAGUCAAAGGUUGUUACAUCAAAUGGACGACAUUGAAAUUAUGGCAGACACAGGUUUAGAAGCUUUUAGAUUUUCCAUCUCUUGGUCCAGACUGAUCCCAAGAAAGACUACAUUGCAUAUGCUGAUGUUUGCUUCAGAGAAUUUGGUGAUUGGGUCUUGCACUGGACUACUUUUAAUGAAGCUGUUGAGAGGAUCAAAUGCGACCAAAACUUUUUACUACAAGGCUGGGUUUGACCCACAAUUUUUGUCAAAACCAAGCGUGGAAGGGAAGGAGGCUGGGUUGUGGAACGGCUUUUGAAUCAGUUAUUGAUAGAGCUAGACCGGAGCUGAUCAACGCAAGGGCGUUUACAUAAUCGGUUCUACCAACAGGCCAGAGGUGAUGGAUCAAGCAGUGUUACGACCCGGAAGGUUUGGGAACAAUUUAAACCACUUAGAUUCUUAAUUUUUCCGUAAUAAUUACUAAUGUACGUUUAGUCUUUUUUUUAAUGCCUACUUAUGCAUAUGAACUAUUGAUGCGUGUUAGUGUGUAUAUUUUUAGGUAUAUAUUUUAAACCCUUUUUAAACUUUUUAGCCAAGUUUUAAAUUUAUAAAACACGAUAUUUACUAACACUACACACACAUAUGGGCAAGUGCACCCAUCGUGGACGUAGUAUAGUGUUGAUAGUCCCUAAAGCGGAUGAAGGUUACUCGGAUAGUCCACGUGGUUUGACAAGUUGUUACUCAGAUAGUCCCUAGUCCCUGUGGUUUGACAAGUUGUUACUCGGAUAGUCCCUGUGGUUUGACAAGUUGUUAGUCGGAUAGUUCCUGUGGUUUGACAAGUUGUUACUCGGAUAGUCCUUGUCAUUUCACACCCACUUAACCAAAAAAACUAACCUCCAUCUACUUUAGGGACUAUCCAAGUAACAACUUACCAAACCACAUGGACUAAGAAUGUAAUUUUAAAAAGUUAGAAAUUAAAAGUGAAAUUUCACCAAACCUGAGUGGAUUUUACUCCUAAUUCUAAUUGAUGCUUUCAUUGAAAAUUAUUGAAGUUCCCUCCUAAUUUUACCCCCUAAAAUUAUUUUCCCAAAAAUUUAAUUUAAUCAUCUAAAAUAAAGAAACUUCCCCGCCCACUUUUUCCCCAAAACCCAAAUUCCCCAUCAUUCUCAAAACCAAACUGAACAUCCCAAAUAAUCUUUAAGCAAAUCGUAACUCUCAUUCUCAAACUUCCCUGCCGAUUCGACUUUGAGAUUAGAUCUCCACCAUGACGACGACCAGCACCAUCAUGACACCGGUCGUCAUUUGCGGGGAAAGAUUGAAAGAUAUACUAUAGCCAUGAUGUAUUGGAACAAUCUCGUUUACUCGCCGUGAUUCUUCAGCCGUCGAGCAUCGCCGCUUGUUACCAUUGGCAUUGAUGGACCCGUUGGUACCGGAUUUGAAAGAUGUAACUGAGAAGUUAAUUUUUGGGCUCUUUGUCAUGAAUGUUGGUAGUGAGUGCAAGUUGGAAAAUUUUGGAGGCGAGGACGGGCGGGUCGUGUUCAACCCGGAGAGUGUUACCAUCUAUAUCCUCGAUGCGUCUAUAACGCUUUCGCAGAGUAUCAGUUGCCCGAAAUACUAAGGACACCCUUGCAGUCGCUAUGUCUUCAAAUCAAAAGUUUAAAGCUUGGAAGUAUAUCCGAAUUCUUAUCUAAGGCUCUACAGUCACCCAAGUUAUUAGCGGUCCAAAACGCUAUCGAGUAUCUCAAGGUUAGCGGUGCUUUAGAUGAGAGUGAAAAUCUAACUGUAUUGGGAUGGGCACUUGAGAAUGAUGGGAGCAUACUUGGAGUUCUUUAUGGACCCGGGAUUAGCCAAAAUGUAUCAAAGUUUAAGACGGGAGCUUGACAAGUUAAUUCAGUGUAAGUUAACGAAUCCCAGAAUGGACAUACAUACACACCACGAGCUUUUAUCCGCCAUACGGUUGCUUCUACCUGAAGAUAAAUGUAAUGGCAAAUUCGUAUUCGACCGUCAGGUGUUGUAUAAAGACUCAAAACCUUAUAUCGCAUCCGUACCAGCGCCAGCACCACCAGCUUCGAGAUUAGAAAGUGGACCAGGCGGUGACAAUCCCAAAGGUCAGCUACAAACAUUACUUAUGAGAGCCGGGUGCCCUGCCCCAACCUACCGAACCACCCAACUGUCGGACAACCAGUUUCGGUCCAUUUGUGAAUUCAAUGGGAUGCAGAUUAUGGGGCACCCUUGCCACAACAAGAAACAGGCAGAAAAAGAUGCUGCAGCCGAGGCUUUAGAACGGCUCACGGGUGGCAACAAUGUAACUUUUUCAUAAUUGUUUGCUUCAAUGAUUUCAAUAUUGGCCGGGGAUUUCUUGCUUUUUAGAGCUGGUAUUGCCCUUGCUUUCUUGAAGAACACCGAGGUUGUACAUUAAUAGCAACAGCAACUAUCAAUGAUCUUUUGGCCUAGUGGUUAAAGGGGAGGUGAGAAGCUUUGCUUCUCUUGGAGGUCCUGGGUUCAAGUCCAGGCAAGGGGGUUUUAAUACUAACUUGAUAUGCUAGAGAAGACACAUUAUCUUCUGUACAUAUACGAUCUUAUGAAAAGAAAGCUGCUUUCAUCAUCAACAGAUCCAAAUUGCCCAGAAGCAUCUCUUGUUGAGGUAUACCAACGCAGUUAUGAUCUAUGUAUGCAGCUCUAGCAGAAAGAUUCUGACUGAGAACUCAUAUCUAAACAUAUAUGGUUGUAUGAUGCUGAUCUCAACGGCCAGCAACUUGCGAUUGUUGCAGGACUUUGUGAGUGGAGAGAUGUUAUUGCUCGUUCAGAAGAUGAAAGUACCGGUUAUAUAUUGCCAAACAAAGUUCUUAUUGAAAUUGGUCUUAUUGAAAUUGCAAAGCAAAGCAAAUGCCGGUGACAACUGAAAAAUUGCGACACUUGUUGAAAUCGAGACAUCCAUAUAUUGAGCGAAAUCUUGGUUCAAUCGUUGGCAUCACUAAGCAUUCCAUGCAGAAUGGCGCUGCAUUUGAACUUGUUGCCAAGAAAAUUGUUGAAGAUGAUUAUUUAACUCGCAUGAAGAUUGUGAAAGAGAUUCAUGAACACAAUUAAGUUUUGAGUUUUUAUUCAUACACUUGGUAGUUUAUUUGGGUUAUAUGUUUGAUCAUUAAACUUAGAUCGAUACUUAUUAGACAUUUGGAAUCUUUGGAAGAUUGAUUGAACUUUUAAUUGAAGUGAUUAUUUUAUGAUUUCUACAUUUUAAA
rnacentral:lncRNA from 1 species